UUUCCAAACACUUUAUAUCACCAACCAUGUGUGGUAAACGGUGGGCUCUUCAUUUUUUAAAAAAAGAUGCAAUAUCAUCUGUCCUUUUGUGGGAGGGAAUAAUUCAACUGCAAAGGAUUGAAAAUAAUAUGACAUAAACAAGGCUUUCUGCAAAAAAGUAAUUUUUAAAGAGUAUAUAUUAAAAGUAAACGCCAGUAGACUUUUUCUAGAAAUAGACAUCAAGAGGGAACUGGGUUCUGGAUGCAAGGCCUCACCAUGAAACCUGGAAUGCUACAUGGCAACUUGGAGUGACACGUUAUUCCAGAACGUUACACAGCCUCAAUGGCUUCUACCAGGUCUUUAGAGCAAUCUACAAACCACAGCACUCAUAAAACCACCUGCUGGUGGCAGUAGGUAAAGUGAGAUGAGAAACACAUUCAAUGGACCAGAACCAUGACAUUCCCCAUCCAUAGUCUUUUUUUUAUUUUUUAUUUGUAGAUAGUAGAUUUGUUGCAGGUUGUAGCAGCAACAGAUGUUGCAAGUUGAAAUUACGUUCAACUGAAGCAUGAUGGGGUAAUAAGCCAGAGGAAGUUACACAACCAUGAUUCAGUGAAAACAUAAAACAGAUCUCAAGGAUUUAAUCUUAAUGUUUGUUUUUUGUUCUUGCCACUUUCACGAA